CAGGCCUAACACAUGCAAGUCGAGCGGUAAGGCCUUUCGGGGUACACGAGCGGCGAACGGGUGAGUAACACGUGGGUGAUCUGCCCUGCACUUCGGGAUAAGCCUGGGAAACUGGGUCUAAUACCGGAUAUGACCUCCUAUCGCAUGGUGGGUGGUGGAAAGAUUUAUCGGUGCAGGAUGGGCCCGCGGCCUAUCAGCUUGUUGGUGGGGUAAUGGCCUACCAAGGCGACGACGGGUAGCCGACCUGAGAGGGUGACCGGCCACACUGGGACUGAGACACGGCCCAGACUCCUACGGGAGGCAGCAGUGGGGAAUAUUGCACAAUGGGCGAAAGCCUGAUGCAGCGACGCCGCGUGAGGGACGACGGCCUUCGGGUUGUAAACCUCUUUCAGCAGGGACGAAGC
rnacentral:rRNA from 1 species